AGCGGACUUGAUGAGAAGCUUGCUUCUCAGAUAGUUAGCGGCGGACGGGUGAGUAACACGUAGGCAACCUGCCCUCAAGCUUGGGACAACUACCGGAAACGGUAGCUAAUACCGAAUAGUUGUUUUCUUCGCCUGAAGAGAACUGGAAAGACGGAGCAAUCUGUCACUUGGGGAUGGGCCUGCGGCGCAUUAGCUAGUUGGUGGGGUAACGGCUCACCAAGGCGACGAUGCGUAGCCGACCUGAGAGGGUGAUCGGCCACACUGGGACUGAGACACGGCCCAGACUCCUACGGGAGGCAGCAGUAGGGAAUCUUCCGCAAUGGGCGAAAGCCUGACGGAGCAAUGCCGCGUGAGUGAUGAAGGUUUUCGGAUCGUAAAGCUCUGUUGCCAGGGAAGAACGCUUGGGAGAGUAACUGCUCUCAAGGUGACGGUACCUGAGAAGAAAGCCCCGG
rnacentral:rRNA from 1 species